rnacentral:rRNA from 1 species
UGGGGAAUCUUGGACAAUGGGCGCAAGCCUGAUCCAGCAACGCCGCGUGGAGGACGAAGGCCUUCGGGUCGUAAACUCCUGUCAGUAGGGACGAAAAAAGCAGGGUCGAACAGGCCCUUGCCAUUGACGGUACCUGCAGAGGAAGCCCCGGCUAACUCCGUGCCAGCAGCCGCGGUAAUACGGAGGGGGCUAGCGUUAUUCGGAAUUACUGGGCGUAAAGGGCGUGUAGGCGGCUUGAUAGGUCAAAAGGUGAAAUCCCCUCGGCUCAACCGAGGAACUGCCUUUGAAACCAUCUGGCUCGAGGCUGGGAGGGGGUAGCGGAAUUCCUGGGUGUAGCGGUGAAAUGCGUAGAUAUCAGGAGGAACACCAGUGGCGAAGGCGGCUACCUGGACCAGUUCUGACGCUGAGGCGCGAAAGCGUGGGG